rnacentral:rRNA from 1 species
UACAGAGGUCUCAAGCGUUGUUCGGAUUCAUUGGGCGUAAAGGGUGCGUAGGUGGCGGGGCCAGUCAGGUGUGAAAUCCCGGGGCUUAACCCUGGAACUGCAUUUGAUACUGCCUUGCUGGAGAACUGGAGAGGAGACUGGAGUUUACGGUGUAGCAGUGAAAUGCGUAGAGAUCGUAAGGAAGACCAGUGGCGAAGGCGAGUCUCUGGACGAUACCUGACACUGAGGCACGAAAGCCAAGGGAGCAAACAGG